rnacentral:rRNA from 1 species
UACGGAGGGUGCAAGCGUUGUCCGGAAUCACUGGGCGUAAAGGGCGCGUAGGCGGCUCGGUAAGUCGGGGGUGAAAUCCUGCGGCUCAACCGCAGGGCUGCCUUCUAAACUGUCGAGCUCGAGCACGGUAGAGGCAGAUGGAAUUCCCGGUGUAGCGGUGGAAUGCGUAGAGAUCGGGAAGAACAUCAGUGGCGAAGGCGGUCUGCUGGGCCGUUGCUGACGCUGAGGCGCGACAGCGUGGGGAGCAAACAGG